GUGUUGGAGAAGACUCUUGAGAGUCCCUUGGACUGCAAGGAGAUCCAACCAAUCCAUCCUAAAGGAACUCAGUCCAGAAUAUUCAUUGGAAGGACUGAUGCUGAAGCUGAAACUCCAAUACUUUGGCCAUCCAAUCCGAAGAACUGACUCAUUUGAAAAGACCUUGAUGCUGGAAAAGAUUGAAGGCAGGGGAAGAGGACGACAGAGGAUGGAUGUUUGGAUGGCAUCACUGACUCAAUGGGCAUGAGUUUAAGUAAACUCUGGGAGUUGGUGAUGGACAGGGAAGCCUGGUGUGCUGCGGUCCAUGGUGUUGCAAAGAAUCAGACAUGACUAUUGAGUGAACUGAACUAUGGGACGGAGGGAAAGAUGGCGGAGGAAUAGGACAGGAAGACCACUUUCUCCCUCACAAAUUCCUCAAAAGAACAUUUCAACGCUGAGCAAACUUCACAAAAUAACUUCUAUAGGCUGGCAGAGGACAUCAGGCAACCAGAAAAGCAGACCAUUGUCUUCAAAAACAGGAGGAAGGAGGCAGAAAGAGAGGAGAGGUAAAAACCUUGUGCAUCAACUCACAGUAUCCUUAGAAGAUUAUAUAAUGGUGCAACAGAACACUAGCUCUGCAAAAGAAUGUGAUUUGUGACAAAUGUGAAGGCCGAGGUGGUAAGAAAGGAGCAGUAGAAUGCUGUCGCAAUACCAAGGUACCAGAAUGCAAAUAAGAAUUCAUCAAAUAGGACCUGGAAUGGUUUAGCAAAUUCAGUCUGUAUGCAUGGAGUGCCAGGGCCAUAGGAGGCAGAUCAGUCCUGAGGACAGAUGUAAAAGCUGCAAUGAAAGGAAGAUAGUUUGAG
ensembl:lncRNA